GAAAGCAGGGGACCUUCGGGCCUUGCGCUAUCAUAUGAGCCUAGGUCGGAUUAGCUAGUUGGUGAGGUAAUGGCUCACCAAGGCGACGAUCCGUAACUGGUCUGAGAGGAUGAUCAGUCACACUGGAACUGAGACACGGUCCAGACUCCUACGGGAGGCAGCAGUGGGGAAUAUUGGACAAUGGGCGAAAGCCUGAUCCAGCCAUGCCGCGUGUGUGAAGAAGGUCUUCGGAUUGUAAAGCACUUUAAGUUGGGAGGAAGGGCAGUAAGCGAAUACCUUGCUGUUUUGACGUUACCGACAGAAUAAGCACCGGCUAACUCUGUGCCAGCAGCCGCGGUAAUACAGAGGGUGCAAGCGUUAAUCGGAAUUACUGGGCGUAAAGCGCGCCGUAGGUGGUUUGUUAAGUUGAAUGUGAAAUCCCCGGGCUCAACCUGGGAACUGCAUCCUUUUCUGGCAAGCUAGAGUAGGGCAGAGGGUGGUGGAAUUUCCUGUGUAGGCGGUGAAAUGCGGUAGAUAUAGGAAGGAACACCCGUGGCGAAGGCGACCCACCUGGGCUCAUACUGACACUGAGGUGCGAAAGCGUGGGGGGCAAACAGGAUUAGAUACCCUGGUAGUCCACGCCGUAAACGAUGUCAACUAGCCGUUGGAAGCCUUGAGCUUUUAGUGGCGCAGCUAACGCAUUAAGUUGACCGCCUGGGGAGUACGGCCGCAAGGUUUAAAACUCAAAUGAAUUGACGGGGGCCCGCACAAGCGGUGGAGCAUGUGGUUUAAUUCCAAGCAACGCUAAAGAAUACCAGGCCUUGACAUCCAAUGAAAACCUUUCCAGAGAUGGAUUGGUGCCUUUGGGAACAUUGAGACAGGUGCUGCAUGGCUGUCGUCAGCUCGUGUCGUGAGAUGUUGGGUUAAGUCCCGUAACGAGCGCAACCCUUGUCCUUAGUUACCAGCACGUUAAGGUGGGCACUCUAAGGAGACUGCCGGUGACAAACCGGAGGAAGGUGGGGAUGACGUCAAGUCAUCAUGGCCUUUACGGCCUGGGCUACACACGUGCUACAAUGGUCGGUACAGA
rnacentral:rRNA from 1 species